UGAGAAUGCAGGGACAGAGACCAAGCACC
rnacentral:piRNA from 1 species